UCAUGGGCGAGAGCCUGAACCAGCCNAGUUAGCGUGAAGGAUGACUGCCCUAUGGGUUGUAAACUUCUUUUAUAAAGGAAUAAAGUCGGGUAUGGAUACCCGUUUGCAUGUACUUUAUGAAUAAGGAUCGGCUAACUCCGUGCCAGCAGCCGCGGUAAUACGGAGGAUCCGAGCGUUAUCCGGAUUUAUUGGGUUUAAAGGGAGCGUAGAUGGAUGUUUAAGUCAGUUGUGAAAGUUUGCGGCUCAACCGUAAAAUUGCAGUUGAUACUGGAUAUCUUGAGUGCAGUUGAGGCAGGCGGAAUUCGUGGUGUAGCGGUGAAAUGCUUAGAUAUCACGAAGAACUCCGAUUGCGAAGGCAGCCUGCUAAGCUGCAACUGACAUUGAGGCUCGAAAGUGUGGGUAUCAAACAGGAUUAGAUACCCUGGUAGUCCAAGGGCGAAUUC
rnacentral:rRNA from 1 species